CAAGAAUUUCAGCAUUUCACACAGUUCCCUAACUUUUUACCCUCUCUUCACACUAUUCAGGCCUCUCACUGUUCCUUUCUUUGUCUUGCCAGAUUUCUUGUUCAAUGACUCCAUUAACUCUGAUGGAAAGUUCUUUCAGCUGUUUUCCUCACUGCUGCUCUAUUUUUUUUUCCAGACAAAACAAGGGUACAUCUCAGCUGCUGAAGCACUGNNNNNNNNNNNNNNNNNNNNCUGGGUUUCCACAGGGUUCAGAUCCAGUCCUGAGGUUGUUAUUCACCUAUCCAGCUUGUUUGCUGUAAACUUAAACAUGUACUUACAGGAUGAAAUGAUUUGUGGAACUAAGGCUUGGAAACCCCCAAUUUCUCCUCUCCUCAGCAUAAAGAAAGAAUUGACAAAUCACAUGAGAAGCUAGUCAUGAGGACUACCUGGAAGGAAAUUCAGGGAGGACAAAACAUCCACCAGAAUAACAGUCCUUCUCAAAACACCAGCACAGAUGCAACAUCAGAUGCGAUGUUCUGACAGCGCAGGAAACAACCUUUGCAGUCCAGCAGGAAAAAGGAGUAACAUCUGCAAUGAAAAUGGCAUCCACGAUGAAAUCACAGCCCUGUAUACCAACCUUUGUAUAGAAAAAGGUAAAUUCCGGUGUUUAACUGCAAAACCAACAACUUCAUGGUUGACAUGGAAUCUCUUCUCAGCAACUUUGUGCAUUCCCUUACAAAUAAAUCAGCACAGAACAUUAUUCAACACAUUUAACUAGCAGAGAGAAAACCCCUCCAAAGAAAUUGUAGGUGCUCUCCAACAGAAAACAAUGCCUACUGGGGUGCCAUCUCCAGUAACACGAGCAAAAAAAUACACCUAAAACGUGGACCUGAGGUAAAUGUAG
rnacentral:lncRNA from 1 species